rnacentral:ribozyme from 13 species
CGUGAAAAAAAAAAAAAAAAAAAAAAAAAAAAAAAAAAAAAAAAAAG